rnacentral:rRNA from 1 species
UACGGAGGGGGCUAGCGUUGUUCGGAAUUACUGGGCGUAAAGCGCACGUAGGCGGAUAGUUAAGUCGGGGGUGAAAUCCCGGGGCUCAACCUCGGAAUUGCCUUUGAUACUGUCGAUCUCGAGUCCGGGAGAGGUGAGUGGAAUUCCUAGUGUAGAGGUGAAAUUCGUAGAUAUUAGGAAGAACACCAGUGGCGAAGGCGGCUCACUGGCCCGGUACUGACGCUCAGGUGCGAAAGCGUGGGGAGCAAACAGG